rnacentral:rRNA from 1 species
CAGCAGCCGCGGGAAUACGAAGGGUGCAAGCGUUAAUCGGAAUUACUGGGCGUAAAGCGUGCGUAGGCGGUGAGUUAAGUCUGCUGUGAAAUCCCCGGGCUCAACCUGGGAAUGGCAGUGGAUACUGGCUCGCUAGAGUGUGUCAGAGGAUGGUGGAAUUCCCGGUGUAGCGAUGAAAUGCGUAGAGAUCGGGAGGAACAUCAGUGGCGAAGGCGGCCAUCUGGGACAACACUGACGCUGAGGCACGAAAGCGUGGGGAGCAAACAGGAUUAGAUACCCCGGUAGUCCCUGUCUCUUAUAC